ensembl:lncRNA
UUGUGACACAGCUAUUGAGUCUGAAAAACAUUUUUAAUGCACAAAAUAUUUGCAUAGAUUUUACACAUUAAUGUUAAUGGUAUUUCAUGUGGCCUGUAGUUUUUUUUUGCUAGCUUAUUGAUGAGAUUAGGUUUGUUAGUUCCCUUUUAUGAUCCAACACUGUUUCCCUAGCCUUUUCUCCUUGGUUGUCUUUCCGCAUCAUGUUUGGAUCCCAGGAAUUUUAUUAUUUGUUGUCCUGUUUCCUGUUUAGCUACUUCCUGUGUUACUUUGGUGGUCAUUUGUCUCUUGUGCUUUGUAUUUAGUGUAACUUCCUUUGUCUUGUUAUCCCUGAUUUGUUUGUACUGUUUAUAAGUGUAGCCAAGUGAAUUAAUACUACGCAUGGAAAGAGUUUAAAAAGAGGGGAUUUUUUUUUUUUUACUGGUCGCCUUUCUACCACAGGUCUUUUGUAGAGUUGCCAUGGUGAUAACUAGACCUCGUGUUUUGGGGGUAUACUGUCCCUUUAAGAGCCGCCGUAAGCCAGAGUACGCAUGCACUCAAGUUUGCAUCACACACUGAGCGCUGUGAGCGGGAGCACUGCAAAAGAUUCUGUGGCUAGCUACACACGAGAGUUCUUAAGGUUCUUAGGGUGUAUGUUUAAUGGUCACGUGCUGUGAAAGGGACUGAAGAGCGGGUUGGUGUGAGUAGUGACAGUGUCCUAACAGAUUUCAAAGUUGUUAAGUUUAUACUGUUAUUCACUUUGCAUAACUCUGUAUGUUUCUGUUUGAUUCAGAGUGGAGAUCACUUGCUGUGUGAUUCCUGCGUGUGUACUUGUCCUAGCAAAGUAGUUGUGUGGAGAAACCAAAGUGAGUUCAUGAUGUUCUCCCAUAGAAAUGUAUGUUUAAAGGAGAGUUUACAGUGCACUUUAUUGCCAGUUGAACUGUGAAGUUGUGGGAUGUAAACAAUGUGUUUAUUUGUUUUGUUUUCUCUUUUUUUUGUAUUUGUUUCUUAACAGGUCACUACUGUUGUCUAUACUGUUUGAAUUUAACGUGUACAUAUGAUAGUUACAGUUGUCUCAGACCCUGAAAUACAGUUUUAGGCUGAGCCAGUGGAAUAGUUAAAUUUUGCCGUUUCAAUUAAAACUGUGCUCCUCCAAGUACAGUCGGAGAAUAAAAAAGCCCACAGCAGAGUA